UUUUGCUCGAUCUAUGGUUUUGGCUUUGUUUUUUGUUACAUUCUUUAUGUUUCGAAACAUUUUUGGUGCUUUUCCAUUGAUCUCUCUACCACAGCCUGUUGUUGAGCCUGAAACUGCAAACCGAUAUUCCACAUCAGUCGAUCUUGGUCUCUUGCCUUUGCUUUCCCGUGAUUUAGCAAAUGAAGGCCUCCUUAAAACAGGCGAUAAAGCUGUACUUUUAAGCAAUGACAAUGGCAAUGAUAUUGAUCAUGACGAUGCCAUUGAUAUUUCUCAUAUCCUAAAUGGCAAUUACGAUAUUGAUCUAAUCUCGGUCUCUGAUUUUGAUCGACAAAGCACAAUUCUUGAAGAAUCUCUGGACUUUGUCAUCACCUAUAGCUUCCCUGGUGCCCAAGAAUUCAUCGAUCGCACCCUCAAAGUGGGAGGCAUUGCUGUUGUACAACUAAAUGAUAAUCCUUCGUUUCUAUUAAAUAAGCCAUCCAAUUACAAAAUAGUUUAUCUCAGGAAAUUUCAACCAACGGUGAUGGCCAUGAGGAAAA
rnacentral:misc_RNA from 1 species